CCCUAGCCCUGAUAGAAGCGGCAUCCUUUUAUGGUGGUCCCGAUAGCUAUCGGGAACCAUAAAAGAUACAGCGGAUAGCAGGAAACAGC
rnacentral:sRNA from 1 species